rnacentral:rRNA from 1 species
UGAUUUCCUUCGGGACUGAUUAUUUUGUGACUGAGUGGCGGACGGGUGAGUAACGCGUGGGUAACCUGCCUUGUACAGGGGGAUAACAGUUGGAAACGGCUGCUAAUACCGCAUAAGCGCACGGCAUCGCAUGAUGCAGUGUGAAAAACUCCGGUGGUAUAAGAUGGACCCGCGUUGGAUUAGCUAGUUGGUGAGGUAACGGCCCACCAAGGCGACGAUCCAUAGCCGACCUGAGAGGGUGACCGGCCACAUUGGGACUGAGACACGGCCCAAACUCCUACGGGAGGCAGCAGUGGGGAAUAUUGCACAAUGGGCGAAAGCCUGAUGCAGCGACGCCGCGUGAGCGAAGAAGUAUUUCGGUAUGUAAAGCUCUAUCAGCAGGGAAGAUAAUGACGGUACCUGACUAAGAAGCGCCGGCUAAAUACGUGCCAGCAGCCGCGGUAAUACGUAUGGUGCAAGCGUUAUCCGGAUUUACUGGGUGUAAAGGGAGCGCAGGCGGUGCGGCAAGUCUGAUGUGAAAGCCCGGGGCUCAACCCCGGUACUGCAUUGGAAACUGUCGUACUAGAGUGUCGGAGGGGUAAGCGGAAUUCCUAGUGUAGCGGUGAAA